rnacentral:tRNA from 1 species
UGGGGUGCAGCUUAGUGGUAGAGCGCGUUUAUAGCAUGUAUGAGGUCCUGGGUUCCAUCCCCAGCACCACAA